AUGGCAAGGCCGACCGUGGUGGUGGCCGGCCGUGGCUGCCUGCCGCCGCUGCCGCUGCGUGUGCCGUUGAUGCUGCUUGCCGUCGCCGCCCUAUGUUGCUGUUUGCCGCUGCCCGCCGCCGUUGUUGCCUGCUGCAUGCGUUGCUGCUUCUGCUUGCGUCGCUGCUGCCCAAUGCCUGUGUUGUUGCUUCUGCUUGCGCCGUCGCUGCUCACUACCGCUACACCGGCCUUGGUGCCGGCCGGGCAUGGUGCUGUCCAGCGCCCCUCGUGCGGUUCGCCAGGCGUCAGUGGUGUAGCUAGUGCGCGCGUCGCCGCUUGUGGACUGCAGCGACCACCAGUCGCCGUCGUGGGAUUCCAGCAGCCCAACCCCCUCCCUUCCGCGGUGGUUCCGUCGAGGAUGGGGGAAAGGGUGUGGGAGGAAGAAGAUCUAGUGCCAACGUCCGUCUCCGCACAGCAGUUUGCCCGCGCCACAUGUACCCGACAGGUGGGCCAUCCCUGUUAG
rnacentral:rRNA from 1 species